GAGACACUAAAAUCACGUGUUAUAUACCCAAUUGAUGUGUCAUAAAUGUUAUGUUAUUACCGAACCACCUUAUAGAACAAAUUAUUUGGCAUGGGGAAGCUCAACAUUUGCUACAAAUAGAUAUAGAUCCAGAUUUUUUUUUUUCUAAAGCCAAAUCUCGUGAAGUAGUCAGGAAAUUCAAGAGAACAAACGUGUUCUUGCGUAUGUAAGUGCAGGGAUUUUGUUAUUUUGGUUUUGUUUUGUCGGUCUGUUGGUGCGUUCUGAGAAAAAUGGAGCGAGUGGAUUAUCUUUCGGAUGAGAGGAAGAGGGCUCAGUUCGAUGUGGAUGCUAUGAAGUAUGUAUGGGCGGGCUCUCGCCACGCAUUUGAAGUUUCUGAUCGAAUUUCUAAGCUCGUCGCCAGUGAUCCGGCUUUCCGAAAGGAUGACAGAACUAUGCUUCCAAGAAAAGAAUUGUUUAAGAAUACUAUUAGGAAGGCAACUUAUGCAUGGAAACGGAUUAUUGAACUUCGUCUAUCCGAAGAGGAGGCAGCUAAGUUAAGGUUUUAUGUUGAUGAGCCCGCUUUUACUGAUCUUCAUUGGGGAAUGUUUAUACCUGCCAUAAAGGGACAGGGCACUGAUGAACAACACCAAAAAUGGUUGCCGUUCGCCUAUAAGAUGCAAAUAAUUGGCUGCUAUGCACAAACUGAACUUGGUCAUGGCUCCAACGUACAAGGUCUUGAAACCACUGCAACAUUUAACCCUAAGACUGACGAAUUCAUACUUCAUAGUCCGACAUUGACUUCAAGCAAAUGGUGGCCUGGUGGACUAGGUAAAGUGUCCACCCAUGCUGUUGUUUAUGCACGCCUUAUUACAGAUGGUAAAGACCAUGGAGUUCAUGGCUUUAUUGUCCAACUACGGAACUUGGAGGACCAUACUCCUCUUCCAGGAAUAACCCUUGGUGAUAUUGGAACAAAAUUUGGAAAUGGAGCAUACAACACCAUGGACAAUGGCGUGUUAAGAUUUGAUCAUGUACGUAUUCCGAGAGACCAAAUGUUGAUGAGGGUUUCACAGGUUACGAGGGAAGGAAAAUAUAAGCAAUCUGAUGUACCCCGGCAGUUGGUCUAUGGGACUAUGGUUUAUGUACGACAAACAAUUGUAGCUGACGCUUCUUGUGCUUUGUCACGAGCUGUUUGUAUUGCUACUAGGUAUAGUGCCGUCCGUAGGCAAUUCGGAUCACAGAAUGGAGGACCUGAAAAUCAGGUCAUUAACUACAAAACUCAGCAAAGUAGGCUCUUCCCUUUGCUAGCUUCUGCUUAUGCCUUCAGAUUUGUUGGUGAAUGGCUAAAAUGGCUAUACACGGAUGUGACCCAGAAACUGCAGGCUAAUGACUUCUCAACAUUGCCUGAGGUUCAUGCAUGCACUGCAGGGUUGAAGUCGCUGACUACUUCUGUCACAGCUGAUGGAAUUGAAGAAUGUCGAAAAUUAUGUGGAGGCCAUGGUUACCUCUGUAGCAGUGGGCUCCCAGAAUUAUUUACAGUUUAUGUUCCUGCUUGUACAUAUGAAGGAGACAACAUUGUGCUGCUUCUACAGGUUGCUAGGUUUCUCAUGAAGACAGCUUCACAGUUGGGAACUGGGAGACAGCCAGUUGGGACGAUAGCCUAUAUGGGAAGAAUUGAACGUCUAAUGCAAUGCUGUUCCGAUGUACAAAAUGCUGAGGACUGGCUAAAGCCAAGUGUAGUAUUGGAGGCAUUUGAGGCAAGGGCUGCCAGAAUGUCUGUUGCUUGUGCUCGAAAUCUGAGCAAAUUCGCCAAUCCAGAAGAAGGUUUUGCUGAGCUAUCAGCUGAUUUAGUUGAGGCAGCCAUCGCUCACUGCCAAUUAAUUGUUGUCUCAAAGUUUAUUGAGAAGCUGCAACAGGACAUUCCCGGUAAAGGUGUCAAGAAACAAUUAGAGAUGCUAUGCAGUGUCUAUUACCUAUUUCUCCUUCACAAGCACCAGGGUGAUUUCAUUGCUACAAGCUGCAUAACUCCGAAGCAGGCUUCGCUUGCUAAUGAUCAGCUCAGAGCCUUGUAUUCGCAGGUUCGUCCAAAUGCUAUAGCUCUUGUUGAUGCAUUCAACUAUACUGACCACUUCUUAGGAUCAAUUCUUGGCCGUUAUGAUGGAAAUGUCUAUCCAAAACUUUACGAGGCAGCGUGGAAGGAUCCUCUAAAUGAAUCAGAUAUACCUGAUGGCUAUCACAAGUAUAUCAGGCCUCUCCUUAAGCAACAACUCCGCGCUGCUAGACUAUAGAAAAUGUUGACUGACCACACCUGGAAUGCAACAGCCAAGGCCGCACCACCACGGUGAUGCCAACUUCAAUUUCUAUGGAAUUCGCUUUGUUGAUAGCUACAACCUCCGCAUUGUGGCAAAGACUGCCCGGUUAUGGGCUACCAGGUUGACUUACCACCUGUCCCUGCCGAUACACCUCAGGGUCGUGGACAGAAACUAAACAGAAUGGGGGAAACCAUAGAUGGUUCUUCAACUCUGCUUGAGAUUAAUGCAGUGGAUAAUUGUGGGACAGAAGACGCAGAUGAUCAAGAAAGUGAAGUUACAACAGGCUUGAGCUUUGAUAUAGAAGAAUUCUUUGACUUCUCAGUUGAAUGGAACUAUGGAUCUGAAUAGUUAAACCACUUUCUUGAACUUGAUGGGGGAUUCUGAAGGAAAUUUGUCCACCAAUGCCUUCGAGUCCAACAUGUAAAUUAUUCCUCGAGAAGAAGAAAGAACUACAAUUACAAUUAACUGAGUAAAAAUAUUGUUCGGAUUCGUAAAUAAGAUCACAAAUUUGUCA